UUGAAAGGGAAACGAUUGAAGUCAGUCGUACCGGCGGGAAAUCAGCUUCUCGAGUGGGGGUUUGUGGGUGCGUUGGGCUUCGGCCUUCGUCGCUUGUGAUUCCUUUGCUUCUGGGGCGUACUUUUCCGUGUGGUAGGUCAACAUCGGUUUUGAUUACCAUAAAAUGACCGGAGGAAUGUGGCUUCGAUCUUGUAUUGGAGUGUUAUAGCCUCUGGUAGAUGUGGUGGUUGGGAUCGAGGAUUGCAACGAAUACCCUUUGGGCUAUCCGCCUGACCUCUGAAAGUCGCUUGGGUACCGAAAGCUUGCUUAUGGUCAUUCAAGUUGGCGGUCAAAAGGUUAGAACGUGAUUAAAUUCGUUAAGGAUGUUGACGUA
rnacentral:rRNA from 1 species